rnacentral:lncRNA from 1 species
UUUUUUUUCUAGUUCUGUGAAAAUUUCCACUGGAAUUUUGAUGAAAAAUUGCCUUGACUCUGUAUACAGUUUUGGGAAGUGCAGACUUGUUAACAAUAUUAAUAUUUCCAACCCACGAAUACAGGGUGUCCUUGUAUUUAUUUGUGGCUUCUUCAACUCCUUUCAUCAACAUUUUCUCAUUUUCAGUGGAGAGAUCCUUCACCUCCUGGUCAGGUUUAGUCCUCAGUCUUUCCUGGUGCUCUCAAAAGUGAGACUGUUUUCUUGCUCUCUUUUUUGAUGGACUGUUGCUGGGGUAGAGAAAUGCAACUGAGUUUUGUGUGUUGACUUUGUAUCUACGACUUUACUGAAUUCACUUCUUAGUUGCAGCAGGUUUCCUGUGGAGUUCUUAGGGUUUUUACAUGCAGGAUCAGGUCAUCUACAAAUGACUAAUUUCACGUUUUCCUUGCCAACCUGGAUUCCCUUUCUUCACGUCUGACUGCGCUUGCUAGUACUUCCAACACCAUGCUAAGGAGAAAAGGUGAGAAGGUGCAUCUUUGUCUGAUACCAACUCUUCGAGGAAAAGCUUUCAGUUCUCCCUGUUGACGCUGACGUUCGCUGUGGGCUUUUCACAGAAGGCCUUUACUAUGUUGAGGGAAUUUUCUUUGGCACAUACUUGUCGAGAGUUUUGUCAGGACUGGACGUUAAGCUCUGUCAAAUGCUCUUUCUGCGUCUAUUGAGGUGAUAGUGUGGUUUUCUUCUUUCAUUCUGUCAAUGUGCUGUAUCACAGUGAUUAGUUUUCGUAAGUUAAACCAAUCUUGCAUCCCAAGAAUAAAUUCCAUUUGGACAUUAUCUGUCCCCUCGUGAAAUCACCUAUAGAAAUGCAGGAUUCUUGCUGACUCAUUUUAAAAAUUAGAAAUGACUUACAUUGUUAUUCGCCAGUAAAAUGAAAUCUGACUGCUUAUUGUCUCAACGAAUUAGCCUGCCAGCUAAUUUUUAUCAUAUAUUAAUGCAAAUCUACAUUAUAAUUUUAUCAAUUAAUCCAAAUCCAAAUAUUUACCAAAUAUUACCAUAUUAGGUAAAAUAUGGAAUCCAGUGCCAAAUUUCACUGUGAGCUGUAACUCAUAAAUUCUCCUUACUCUGCCUUUAGGAGAAUGCACUUUGAGCAAACAUUCAGCCCAAUGAGUGCUUCCCAAACAUUACAACAACCUAGCAGUGGAAAAGGGCCUCCCUUAGGCAGAGUCAAAAUCAAGACUCAUUCAAGCACACACACAGGUGGAAAGCAGAAGCAAAGUCAGGGCAUUAGAAAUACAGGAUUUCUAAUUUUCAGAGCGGAAAUAUAGGAUUUCACACUCUUAGGACUUUUCUCCCACAAGUCUGUUGAGCUUUGAAGUUAGGACAAUGACUGGAAUUCCCAUCGUGGCUCAGUGGAAAUCAAUCUGACUAUCACCCAUGAGGACGCAGGUUUGAUCCCUGGCCUUGCUCAGUGGGUUUGGGUCAGGAGAAAGCUGCUAUCUGCAGCCAGCCAUCCAAGGCUGUCCCAAGUUUUACUCGUGAUGUUUACAUCUAGGAGACAACACACCUCCAUGUUCAUAGCACACAUCCAGGGCAGCCAAUAUCAGACACCAAAUCCUACAAUUCCUCCCAGGAAGAGUAAAAAUACUCACUGCACUUACACUCCAUCACUCACUAAUGUAAGUCAUUCAACAAACAGUCACAAAAGAGUUUCUCUACUAGAAACUACAGAAGGAACAAAGUCAUAUUCUUCAAAAACAGGGCAAGGGAUUGGAGUAUGUCAAACAAUAAGCACUUAGAGAACGUUUGUGGCCAAAACGCAACAGUCCAGCGGUGAAGACCUGAGAC